rnacentral:rRNA from 1 species
GACAGAGGGUGCAAACGUUGUUCGGAAUUACUGGGCGUAAAGCGCGUGUAGGCGGCUCGGAAAGUCGGAUGUGAAAGCCCUGGGCUUAACCUAGGAAGUGCAUUCGAAACUCCCGAGCUUGAGUUCUGGAGAGGAAGGCGGAAUUCUCGGUGUAGAGGUGAAAUUCGUAGAUAUCGAGAGGAACACCGAUGGCGAAAGCAGCUUCUUGGUUCACAUCUGACGUUGAAACACGAAAGCGUGGGGAGCAAACAGG